AAACAGUGUUGCCAGCAGGAACAGGGAAGUAAUUGUCCCCCUGUACUCAGCACUGGUGAGGCCGCACCUCGAGUACUGUGUCCAGUUUUGGGCCCCUCGCUGUAAGAAAGACAUGGAGGCCCUGGAGCGUGUCCAGCAACAAAGCUGGUGAGGGGUCUGGAGCACAGGCCUUGUGAGGAGUGGCUGAAGGAGCUGGGAUUGUUCAGUCUAGAGAAGAGGAGGCUCA
rnacentral:lncRNA from 1 species